UACGUAGGGGGCGAGCGUUGUCCGGAUUUAUUGGGCGUAAAGAGCUCGUAGGCGGUUUGGUAAGUUGGAUGUGAAAUCUCCAGGCUCAACUUGGAGGGGUCAUUCGAUACUGCCAUGACUAGAGUUCGGUAGGGGAGUGUGGAAUUUCAGGUGUAGCGGUGAAAUGCGUAGAUAUCUGAAGGAACAUCAGUGGCGAAAGCGACUUCCUGGACCAAUACUGACGCUCAUGUGCGAAAGCGUGGGGAGCAAACAGG
rnacentral:rRNA from 1 species